GUUCCUUUCACCUGUAAAGUUAACCAAGGUUUCUCCAACAGCUGGGUGUCUAGCUCCAAAGUCAAGCUUUUUGGUGAACUGUCUAUGGAGCUCCUUCCAGUCCCCAGUGAGGAGAUGUCUGGCUCAGGAACCCAGAAACUCAUGUGUUCUGGGUGGGGCUUCAACCCUCAGAUCACGUGGCUCUCUGGGUCUAAACAGAGGGAUGCAGCAGCCAAUGACAUAAAGAUAGGGGAAGACGGAUGUGUGGCAGUAACCAGUCAUAUCACAGUAACACAGCAGGAGUGGAACCAGGGUAUGGUCUUCACCUGUGAGGUCAUCGACAAGUAUCUUCAGAAAGUCAGGAAGAGCAUCAAUAUAUGUGCAGUGACUCCAAUAUCAUAUCAGAAAGUGGGGGUUUACCUACAGGGACCCACUCUUCAAGAGCUGAGGACAGAUGGAAUGGUGCCUCUCACCUGUCUGCUGGUGGGUCUCAGCCUUGGGGGCUUUUCUGUCAGCUGGAAGGUGGAUGGGGUUGUGGCUUCUCAAGGUGGAGUCACACCGACCCCCAAGGAUCAUUCAAAUGGGACACAGACUGAGCAGAUCAUGUUUAACGUGUCUGCGAGGGACUGGCAUGCGCACAAACAUGUGUCUUGUGAGGUGAAGCACCACCGCUCCAGCCAAGCCCAGGAGGAGCAUAUCACCAAAUGCAGAGCUGAGAAACUGUCUUUUGCAUAA